GUUCACACACUCUGCAUUAUAUACACACUCUGCAUUAUAUACACAGAGUGUGUGUAUAUAAUGCAGAGUGUGUGUUU